AGCUUGCUCCCUGAUGUUAGCGGCGGACGGGUGAGUAACACGUGGGUAACCUGCCUGUAAGACUGGGAUAACUCCGGGAAACCGGGGCUAAUACCGGAUGGUUGUUUGAACCGCAUGGUUCAAACAUAAAAGGUGGCUUCGGCUACCACUUACAGAUGGACCCGCGGCGCAUUAGCUAGUUGGUGAGGUAACGGCUCACCAAGGCAACGAUGCGUAGCCGACCUGAGAGGGUGAUCGGCCACACUGGGACUGAGACACGGCCCAGACUCCUACGGGAGGCAGCAGUAGGGAAUCUUCCGCAAUGGACGAAAGUCUGACGGAGCAACGCCGCGUGAGUGAUGAAGGUUUUCGGAUCGUAAAGCUCUGUUGUUAGGGAAGAACAAGUACCGUUCGAAUAGGGCGGUACCUUGACGGUACCUAACCAGAAAGCCACGGCUAACUACGUGCCAGCAGCCGCGGUAAUACGUAGGUGGCAAGCGUUGUCCGGAAUUAUUGGGCGUAAAGGGCUCGCAGGCGGUUUCUUAAGUCUGAUGUGAAAGCCCCCGGCUCAACCGGGGAGGGUCAUUGGAAACUGGGGAACUUGAGUGCAGAAGAGGAGAGUGGAAUUCCACGUGUAGCGGUGAAAUGCGUAGAGAUGUGGAGGAACACCAGUGGCGAAGGCGACUCUCUGGUCUGUAACUGACGCUGAGGAGCGAAAGCGUGGGGAGCGAACAGGAUUAGAUACCCUGGUAGUCCACGCCGUAAACGAUGAGUGCUAAGUGUUAGGGGGGUUUCCGCCCCUUAGUGCUGCAGCUAACGC
rnacentral:rRNA from 1 species